AAAUUGAAGAGUUUGAUCAUGGCUCAGAUUGAACGCUGGCGGCAGGCCUAACACAUGCAAGUCGAACGGUAGCACAGAGAGCUUGCUCUCGGGUGACGAGUGGCGGACGGGUGAGUAAUGUCUGGGAAACUGCCCGAUGGAGGGGGAUAACUACUGGAAACGGUAGCUAAUACCGCAUAACGUCGCAAGACCAAAGUGGGGGACCUUCGGGCCUCACACCAUCGGAUGUGCCCAGAUGGGAUUAGCUAGUAGGUGGGGUAACGGCUCACCUAGGCGACGAUCCCUAGCUGGUCUGAGAGGAUGACCAGCCACACUGGAACUGAGACACGGUCCAGACUCCUACGGGAGGCAGCAGUGGGGAAUAUUGCACAAUGGGCGCAAGCCUGAUGCAGCCAUGCCGCGUGUAUGAAGAAGGCCUUCGGGUUGUAAAGUACUUUCAGCGAGGAGGAAGGCGUUGUGGUUAAUAACCACAGCGAUUGACGUUACUCGCAGAAGAAGCACCGGCUAACUCCGUGCCAGCAGCCGCGGUAAUACGGAGGGUGCAAGCGUUAAUCGGAAUUACUGGGCGUAAAGCGCACGCAGGCGGUUUGUUAAGUCAGAUGUGAAAUCCCCGGGCUCAACCUGGGAACUGCAUUUGAAACUGGCAAGCUUGAGUCUCGUAGAGGGGGGUAGAAUUC
rnacentral:rRNA from 2 species